CUCGUAGGCGGCUCGUCGCGUCCGGUGUGAAAGUCCAUCGCUUAACGGUGGAUCUGCGCCGGGUACGGGCGGGCUGGAGUGCGGUAGGGGAGACUGGAAUUCCCGGUGUAACGGUGGGAUGUGUAGAUAUCGGGAAGAACACCGAUGGCGAAGGCAGGUCUCUGGGCCGUCACUGACGCUGAGGAGCGAAAGCGUGGGGAGCGAAACA
rnacentral:rRNA from 1 species